UACGGGGGGGAGCUAGCGUUGUUCGGAAUUACUGGGCGUAAAGCGCACGUAGGCGGCUUUGUAAGUAAGAGGUGAAAGCCUGGAGCUCAACUCCAGAAUAGCCUUUUAGACUGCAUCGCUUGAAUCCGGGAGAGGUGAGUGGAAUUCCGAGUGUAGAGGUGAAAUUCGUAGAUAUUCGGAAGAACACCAGUGGCGAAGGCGGCUCACUGGACCGGUAUUGACGCUGAGGUGCGAAAGCGUGGGGAGCAAACAGG
rnacentral:rRNA from 1 species